UACCUUUCCUCCUCCUCCUCCUCCUUCUCUUUUUCUUCUGUUUGUUUGUUUUUUGAGACAGGUUUUCUUUGGCUGGCCUGGAAUUCACUCUACACCAAGCUGGCUUAAAAUUCAUGAAGAUCCACCUGCCUCUGCCUCCAAGUGCUAGGAUUAAAGGCAUGCAUCACCACCACCCAGCAGAGGCCUCUUUUCUAUUGAGCUGUGGACUAUACAGACUCCACAGUCAGUGGCCAUGUCCUGAAUGAAUAGUCGCGGGUCCUAGUUCCCUUGGGAAUCACAUGGGAACAGGUAGAUCUCCCCAGAGAAUACUCACUCUAUCACUUGUCUGUCUCUUUCUGGGUUUAGCCACCUGGUCUACCCCAGCCUCAUUAUGCUCAGGCCCAGUUCCUGUUCAUUCUCUUCCUCUUCCCUGAGUCUUUAGGUCUACAUCUAGGAUGGUGUUGAAUCAUGUGAUCCUCUGCAUAUAACAACAGCUAUGUUCACAGCAGCUGUGACUGUAAGAGACUCUCUCUCAAGAGGAGGCUGUUAUCCAGCUGUGCUGGAGAAUAUUUUCAGUCCCAGCACUUGGGAAGCAGAAGCAGGUGGAUCUCUCUGAGUUUAGAGCUAACCUAAUCUACAUACAUAGUGAGUUUCAGGGCUACAUAGUGAGACAUUGUCUUAAAAAAGUAAAAUAAAUGAGUAAAACCAGAUUUUCAAAAUUGUGCUAUUAAUGGCUGAUAUUUCCUCAUAGAAAUGUGUGUGUGUGUGUGUGUGUGUGUGUGUGUGUGUGUGUGUGUGUGUAAGUGUAAGGUCAUUGGCCUUCAUUUCCAGCCAUUUUGAUUUAAUUCUUCCCUAGUUGCAUAUGGCCUGGUGGUCUCUGGAGAAGCUAGAGUGCGCAGGCAGUAGAAGUCUAACUGAAGCAGGGAGUCCUGUGGGAAGUACAGAGGUCCUUGUGCUCAUAGAGAAGCCCUAGGGGAAGGAAGAAUGUUAAACCCACAGGGCUGACUGUUCAAAGGGAGGCAUGUAUAAUUUGUUUUCUACCCAGAAGGCUGGGGCAGAUGUGGUUAAGGCCUUGUUACUUUUGAGGAAGGAAGACCUACCAGAUCCUCUCCCAGACCCUUGUCAAGAGCUUGUCAAUCUACAGAGCCUGUCUUCCUUGAAGGUGUCACAUGCAGUCAAUCUACAGAGCCUGUCUUCCUUGAAGGUGUCACAUGCUGCCAAUCUACAGAGUCUGUCUUCAUUGAAGGUGUCACAUGCUGCCAAUCUACAGAGCCUGUCUUUAUGGAAAAUGUCACAUGAGCUUUCAAAGAAUUCAUUGUAGCCACAUCUUGCUUUAUAGUACACACAGGGUUGAAUUAAUUAUCACCAGGAAAAUGUUCACCAUAUUGUGCUAUACUUAAAUAUGCCCAAAAUAAACUACUCGGGGUUAGACUUCCAAAGCUUGAAC